rnacentral:tRNA from 1 species
AGGAACUUAGGUUAAUAUAGACCAAAGGCCUUCAAAGCCUUUAGUGGAGGUUAAACUCCUUCAGUU